rnacentral:rRNA from 1 species
UACACUCCUGCGGGAGGCAGCAGUGGGGAAUAUUGGCCAAUGGGCGCAAGCCUGAUCCAGCCAUGCCGCGUGAGUGAUGAAGGCCCUAGGGUUGUAAAGCUCUUUCACCGGUGAAGAUAAUGACGGUAACCGGAGAAGAAGCCCCGGCUAACUUCGUGCCAGCAGCCGCGGUAAUACGAAGGGGGCUAGCGUUGUUCGGAUUUACUGGGCGUAAAGCGCACGUAGGCGGACUAUUAAGUCAGGGGUGAAAUCCCGGGGCUCAACCCCGGAACUGCCUUUGAUACUGGUAGUCUUGAGUUCGAGAGAGGUGAGUGGAAUUCCGAGUGUAGAGGUGAAAUUCGUAGAUAUUCGGAGGAACACCAGUGGCGAAGGCGGCUCACUGGCUCGAUACUGACGCUGAGGUGCGAAAGCGUGGGGAGCAAACAGGAUUAGAAACCCCUGUAGUCCCA